GUGACUGCGUACCUUUUGUAUAAUGGGUCAGCGACUUAUAUUCUGUAGCAAGGUUAACCGAAUAGGGGAGCCGAAGGGAAACCGAGUCUUAACUGGGCGUUAAGUUGCAGGGUAUAGACCCGAAACCCGGUGAUCUAGCCAUGGGCAGGUUGAAGGUUGGGUAACACUAACUGGAGGACCGAACCGACUAAUGUUGAAAAAUUAGCGGAUGACUUGUGGCUGGGGGUGAAAGGCCAAUCAAACCGGGAGAUAGCUGGUUCUCCCCGAAAGCUAUUUAGGUAGCGCCUCGUGAAUUCAUCUCCGGGGGUAGAGCACUGUUUCGGCAAGGGGGUCAUCCCGACUUACCAACCCGAUGCAAACUGCGAAUACCGGAGAAUGUUAUCACGGGAGACACACGGCGGGUGCUAACGUCCGUCGUGAAGAGGGAAACAACCCAGACCGCCAGCUAAGGUCCCAAAGUCAUGGUUAAGUGGGAAACGAUGUGGGAAGGCCCAGACAGCCAGGAUGUUGGCUUAGAAGCAGCCAUCAUUUAAAGAAAGCGUAAUAGCUCACUGGUCGAGUCGGCCUGCGCGGAAGAUGUAACGGGGCUAAACCAUGCACCGAAGCUGCGGCAGCGACGCUUAUGCGUUGUUGGGUAGGGGAGCGUUCUGUAAGCCUGUGAAGGUGUGCUGUGAGGCAUGCUGGAGGUAUCAGAAGUGCGAAUGCUGACAUAAGUAACGAUAAAGCGGGUGAAAAGCCCGCUCGCCGGAAGACCAAGGGUUCCUGUCCAACGUUAAUCGGGGCAGGGUGAGUCGACCCCUAAGGCGAGGCCGAAAGGCGUAGUCGAUGGGAAACAGGUUAAUAUUCCUGUACUUGGUGUUACUGCGAAGGGGGGACGGAGAAGGCUAUGUUGGCCGGGCGACGGUUGUCCCGGUUUAAGCGUGUAGGCUGGUUUUCCAGGCAAAUCCGGAAAAUCAAGGCUGAGGCGUGAUGACGAGGCACUACGGUGCUGAAGCAACAAAUGCCCUGCUUCCAGGAAAAGCCUCUAAGCAUCAGGUAACAUCAAAUCGUACCCCAAACCGACACAGGUGGUCAGGUAGAGAAUACCAAGGCGCUUGAGAGAACUCGGGUGAAGGAACUAGGCAAAAUGGUGCCGUAACUUCGGGAGAAGGCACGCUGAUAUGUAGGUGAAGUCCCUCGCGGAUGGAGCUGAAAUCAGUCGAAGAUACCAGCUGGCUGCAACUGUUUAUUAAAAACACAGCACUGUGCAAACACGAAAGUGGACGUAUACGGUGUGACGCCUGCCCGGUGCCGGAAGGUUAAUUGAUGGGGUUAGCGCAAGCGAAGCUCUUGAUCGAAGCCCCGGUAAACGGCGGCCGUAACUAUAACGGUCCUAAGGUAGCGAAAUUCCUUGUCGGGUAAGUUCCGACCUGCACGAAUGGCGUAAUGAUGGCCAGGCUGUCUCCACCCGAGACUCAGUGAAAUUGAACUCGCUGUGAAGAUGCAGUGUACCCGCGGCAAGACGGAAAGACCCCGUGAACCUUUACUAUAGCUUGACACUGAACAUUGAGCCUUGAUGUGUAGGAUAGGUGGGAGGCUUUGAAGUGUGGACGCCAGUCUGCAUGGAGCCGACCUUGAAAUACCACCCUUUAAUGUUUGAUGUUCUAACGUGGACCCGUAAUCCGGGUUGCGGACAGUGUCUGGUGGGUAGUUUGACUGGGGCGGUCUCCUCCUAAAGAGUAACGGAGGAGCACGAAGGUUGGCUAAUCCUGGUCGG
rnacentral:rRNA from 1 species